GGCCUCGUAGUUGUCUUUCCCUGGCUGGCGUGGGUUCGAAUCCCACCGAGGCCA
rnacentral:tRNA from 1 species